AUCUCGACUUACAUUUCCAUAUUUCGACUUUAUGUACCUAUUGUAUUUAUUGAAUAAUUUCAUGAAAAGAUAAAGCUUUAAGAAAAACAACAUAUAUAUUCAGAGAUUUUUAAUGCGUAGUUAUGUAUAGUGAAGUGGAAAUAGGUUUUUUAUACCUACGAGGUUAAUAUAUACUAAUUGCCGGUAGUCUGGUAUCUAUAACAAUUUCCGAAAAUAUAAGAACACACACAUUAUUACAAGUAUUAAAUAAGUACUUGGCUCCAAAUUGUAAUAUAACAAAAAAAACUAGUGAGAUGGAUUUGGCUAAACAAGAAAAUAGUCCGACACAAUCCGAAAUACGGGAUAUAACUGACAACAGUGCUAACGACAGAGUCAAUAAGAGAUUGUCUUUACCUAUUGCUCAUGCUGAUAACAAUAAAAAACCAAGGUAUUUGGAUGAUCAAGAAUGUGAGGGUAGCGAAAGUGAGAGGAGUAAAAAUAAGAACUAUUCUAUAUUGCUCUCAGACUUGCCGGGUGAAUGGAACUAUGUUCAAAUCAAAGAAUAUGUGACAAAAGAAUGUGGAGUAAAUGUCUUGAAAAUAUUGGACAAAAGAAGUAACAAGAAUAACUAUCAAAUUCAGUUACGGUUCAACAGUGAAGAGCACUAUAAGAUUGCUCUUGACAAGCUAAAAACUAAAGAAAUCGAAGGAAAGUUAACAGUGGAAGUUGAUGAUGAAGAUCCGGAUAGUGACAAUUCGUCAGUGACGACAGUGCAAAUUGCUAAGUGUGAUACAAAUGAUGUGGAUUUUUGGGAGACAGACCCUGAAGGUCUAUAUGGUUUGAAGCUGGAGUACCUAAUGAGCUUAGAAAUUACUCCACCCCUUGUCAGAUGGAUCCAUGUUACCAAUUUUCGGUGUGACAAAUCCGAGCUGAGAGAUGUCUUCGAAAUGGCGGGUAGGAUUGUGUUUUGUACAGUUAUCCAUGCGGUGGAUAAAUAUGCUAAGAUAAUGUACAGCCACCCGCUUGAAGCUGUCCAGGCUGUAUCUAUGUUGAAUGGACAAGUUUUCUAUGGCCAAACAUUAAAAGUUAGAAUGGAUCCUUUCGCGGAAGCUAAUUUACUACUUCCAAAAGGUCUCCAAAAUGUAGGCCCAGGUCUCGGUAAAUCGGGGAAACCUGUGCGCGAUUUGUUCAGGGAAUUAAAACAGUACAUGAAAGAAAAACCUUCUAUGUUAAAUCCUUUAUUAUUUAGUUCACAAUUAUCACCUCAUGAUGCAAGAGUUGAUACAGCAACACCUGGAGAAAGAAUCCAAAAAGAAUCCGAAACCAGUUCUGGUGAACGUGAAAAUGAAAAUGAAAAGAAGGAAGACUCAGAAAGUUUAAAUGACCAUAAAAAUAUUUCUAAUGAAACAGAUAACCAAAGUAAUGAAUGUACAGCAAUCAAUGUCUUGCAAAAUAGAUUCAGGCCUUCGUCUGCAUCUAGAUAUAGUCCUAAUCCUAGUUAUAGCAAUGCUCCAAUGUAUAUUUCAGAUCCUACACUGCGUAACCUAUCCUUAAACAAUAACAGUACUGCUAACCUUCCACAAGUUCCGACACCCAUUGCCAGACCCCGAAUGCCUCCGAAUUUCCCUUUUGCACAGCAAACCUCCAAUUCUUACGCUCCUCAAACUGUUCCUAGUUUGAAUCAAAACAUACCAAAUUAUCCCGGUACGUUUGGGCAGAAUAUGCAAUCUAUAACUAGGCCUGGUUUGGUUCAACGAAUGCCUACUUUUCAAAGACCCACUUUUAUGCAAAAUAUGCAAAUGAUGCAAAGCCCUUCGGGUGAACCGAAUCCGAGGUUCUCGGCCGAAGUAAGAAUAAAUAUAAUUAAUCCAGUGUUAAAUCAAAGUGCUCCAUUAGGAACUCCUCCAUACAACGUUGCUCAAAACAUACUUCCUGUAGCGCCAAACAUGAUUUUUGGACCAAGAGGUCCUAAUCAAGGACUAGAUCAACCACAAAGUUAUGUACAAGUAUUGAGAUGUGCUGAUCCUUCAUCGCUUCAAAUUAUAAACCUGCCAAUAACGUCGACAUUUGGAGGCGUAUGUAGUAAAUUGGCAGAGCUUGGUCAAGUGAUAUCACUUGAGUUUACAACGCCAGGCUGUGCUGUAGUCAAAUAUGGCUCCCCUGGCGAUGCUGAGCGAUGUUUUCAUAAUUUCAGAAACGUUUUCUGAAGUCAAUAUGUAAUAUAACCUACCAAUAUCAUAUUAAUCAAUUUCAUAUUCUGAAGAUUUAACGAUAUGAGGAUUUCAAGUUGUGCAUUCACAGUGCUUCAGUGCACUUACACCAGCCGUCAAAUAGUAUCCAAUCGGCAACUUCCAAGUUUUGUUAAUUGCAACCAGCAGGAUCAAAGCUUGGGUUGCUAAAAUAUCAUUUUUCACAUGAUCUUGCGUUGGACCAGCACCAAAAUUAGUGAUAUGAAAUAGCCAUUAUUCCACGUAAUAUAUAACAUGGCUAUCUCAUCAAACUAAUGAACAUUCACGUUAGAGUUUGAUUGGCAUUUCUUUUUUAAUGUCGUAUAAGAUUCAGCUGUGAAACCCGGUGCUGCAUUAACCAUACCAUCUGCUCUUAAGGAGCGGCAAUGAUUUAUUGUACAAGUCUGACGUAUUUAUUGACAGCCGUUGAAUGAUAUAGUAAUGUUAUAGCAAAUUUGAGCCAGCCUAGCGCUGAAAUAAUCUUGUAAAAAUUGAGGGAGCUGAAAUCUACUACGGUAUAAGCAACUGUUCGCUUUCAAAUUUAGUGGGGCUAUAAUUCGUUGCCUAUCGCCCUACUGUAAUUACUACUAUUUCAAACUUAUUUCAUAUCACUGCAUGUUUCAUACUAAACUAAAUUUCAAUUUUUAAUUUGGCAAUCCCGCCUCUUAUUACAUAGUAUUUACAUCCUCUUUGAUUUGUGCAUUUCUUGCAGUUUUUACUAGCAUUUUCUGUUUAACUCUUAUUAUAUAGAUUUUAGAAUUUCCACUAAAUUUGCUCUGGCCAUUACAUCAUUCUGCAUGCUUAAAUCCAAACAUCACUUACUUUUUAGGUUUUGUACAUUUUUUGUAAAUUCGUAAAAUAGCUACUGUAAAGAUCUGAUCUUUUUAAUUAAUGAUACAUUAGGUAUCACUUAGAUUAAUAAAAUUGUUUCAUAUAUAUAUUUUUACCCCCUUAUUCAUAAUAGUCUGCUAACUGUUUUAAGUUAGCGGACUAUUAUGAAUAAGGGGUUUAGUUUUUAUCAAUUUUUAAUUUUAUACAGUUAAAAGUUAUUUUUUGUGUAAAUAUAUAAGGAAUAAUAAUGUUUUGGGAGGAUUCGUAUAACUUAAGUAUUGUUUAAGUUCUUUAACAUUAAUAAUCUCUUUCUUUUAAGCAUAAAUAAUCGCACUUAGAUUUAUAGAUAUGUCACUAAUAUUAUUAAAAUAAAUAAUUUAAAAUACAGUGAACUUAUAGUAGUACUCAGUAGUGACUGUACUAAUUCUAGUCAGUUGUAAACUUAUGCACUUAUAUGCUAGAUUAUAUUUAAAAUUAAACAAAACACAAGAAAAAUUGGACGUUUUCCGGCUGAUUUGAUGAUGAUCUAGAAUUUAGAAUUUUAAUUGAUUUUGAAAGUUUUUGAUAAGGAGUUGUACUUACAUAUUUCUGUGAUCGCUUUAUAAAAAGAUUUUCAAUCCAUGCGGUUUUGAAUUCAUUUCUAAUAUUUUUUCUGUCUAUUUCAAUAAAUAGUGAAAAGUUUUUCACUUAUUCAAUAUUUUUAAGUAUUAUAACAGUAAUACUGGUGGAACAAAUUCUAUACUCCAUUUUCUCUUAACUAAGAUACAAAUGAAAUACGCUCCAUAAACUUUACGGCCCUCGCAAGGGAAAUAAAAUACGUAACAUGUAUUAUACUUUCAAAUUAGCACUUGUGAGAAGUUUUAGCAGAUAAGUUGCGGGUUGUGAGCUAUAUGCUACAGGGAUUUAUUACAUCUACUUGAUGUAAUUGUCACUGCUACGGAGAUUCAGAGCGGGAAAUAUUUCGAGAGGAUAAUUAAUUUAUCACCCGGAUUAAAUUUCUUCACCAUAAAUAUUAGAUUAUACAUUAUAAAACCGGUAAUAUAUAUAUACUGAUCAUGACAUAUCGGCAAACAGACAUAGAAUUGAAGAUCUUGAAAAACGUCGUCAAUUUAUUGAUACUGUUAUUUUGUACAAAAUAAUUCAUAUCUGAUAUUAUAAUUAUUAAAAUUCUUCACCUUAAAUAUGUUUUACGGAAAAACGCUUUGAUACAUGGAGUAUUUGUACCAUGGGCAGUGACAAAACAAUGAGGCUGUCAAACUAAAAACAGCGCACUCGACCUAUUGAGCAGACUUGUCUAUGACACUUAGAGCAUGACUGUGCGUUUGUACGUCAAUGGUUGUAUAUUAUUAUAAUUAUUGAGAAGAAUAAGGUUUUAUAGUAGAAAUAAUAUUCAAUAAUGACUUUAAAGAGCUUUUUAUAUACUUAUUUAAGUAAUUGCUAUAAGUUGGAUCUAAUGUUGUAUUUUGUGACAAUAUUUUAUUAAUACAAAUUAUUUGAGUUUUCUUUAGUGUUAAUUCCGCCAAUAUUCCGGAAUUAACACUAAAGAAAACUCAAAUCAUAUGUAUAAUCAUGGAUUUCCGCAAAGUAACGCCUACUUCAAUAAAAAUAUUUUAUUAAGUUGCUCUUUACAUUUUUUUGUGAUAAAUUAAAAGAAAUAAAAAAAUACGAUCAAUUAAGUAUAAUAUAAGUACUAAUAUGUGAUUUCAUCAUCUAAAUAUAUUUUAAUUAAUAAUAAUUUAUA